CAGUAGCCACGGGAAUACGAAGGGGGCUAGCGUUGCUCGGAAUGACUGGGCGUAAAGGGCGCGUAGGCGGAUCACGCAGUCAGAUGUGAAAUUCCUGGGCUUAACCUGGGGGCUGCAUUUGAGACGCGUGGUCUAGAGUGUGAAAGAGGGUCGUGGAAUUCCCAGUGUAGAGGUGAAAUUCGUAGAUAUUGGGAAGAACACCGGUGGCGAAGGCGGCGACCUGGUUCAUUACUGACGCUGAGGCGCGAAAGCGUGGGGAGCAAACAGGAUUAGAUACCCGAGUAGUCCCUGUCUCUUAUAC
rnacentral:rRNA from 1 species